rnacentral:lncRNA from 1 species
UUUUAACUUCGAGUAAAAAUAUCUUAUUAUACUUUAUAUUUAUAUAAUAAAAAUAUAUAAUGCAUUACUUCUAUUUUUUUUAUUUUUCUAAUCAAAAUAAAAAUUUACACUAAUAAAUAAUAUAUCAUAAGUAUAAUAAAAAUAUAAAUUGUAUAAUAAUAAUUAAUAUAUUUUUAUAUGAUUAAUAAUUUAUAGGACU